UACGUAGGGUGCGAGCGUUGUCCGGAAUUAUUGGGCGUAAAGGGCUCGUAGGCGGUUUGUCGCGUCGGGAGUGAAAAUCCAGGGCUUAACUCUGGACUGGCUUCCGAUACGGGCAGACUAGAGGUAUGCAGGGGAGAACGGAAUUCCUGGUGUAGCGGUGAAAUGCGCAGAUAUCAGGAGGAACACCAAUGGCGAAGGCAGCUCGCUGGGACGGUACUGACGCUGAGACGCGAAAGCGUGGGGAGCAAACAGG
rnacentral:rRNA from 1 species